GGUUCGAUGGCCUAGUUGGUUAUCGCAUCCCUCUAACAUCGGUGCGUUAUCUGGGAAGUGUUAACAGAAGGUCCCAGUUCGAGCCUGGGUCGAAUCA